CGUGUGCACUCUUGUUUUAUGUAAUAUUGUGUAAACCAGCUUUAAUCAGAUUCUUAUACUAAUCUUCUCCCCUGUCAAUAGAAUAAACAUUAUAUCAAACAAGACGACAGAAUUUAAACACUUUUAUUUCAAUCAAAGUCACACCAUUUGAGAUUCAAAAGAAAAGCAUUCUAAUAUAAUAAUAAUAAUAAUAAUAAUAAUAGUAAAACAAC
rnacentral:lncRNA from 1 species